rnacentral:rRNA from 1 species
GGAGGAAAAGAAACUAACAAGGAUUCCCCUAGUAACGGCGAGUGAAGAGGGAAGAGCCCAAGAUUGAAAGCUGGCGUCUUCGGCGUCCGCAUUGUAAUCUCAAGAAGUGUUUUCCGCUUCGGACCAAGCCUAAGUCCCCUGGAAAGGGGCAUCAUAGAGGGUGAUAAUCCCGUACAUGGCUUGGAGCGCCCGAGGCUUUGUGAUACGCUUUCUAAGAGUCGAGUUGUUUGGGAAUGCAGCUCAAAAUGGGUGGUAAAUGCCAUCUAAGGCUAAAUAUUGGGGAGAGACCGAUAGCGAACAAGUACAGUGAUGGAAAGAUGAAAAGAACUUUGAAAAGAGAGUUAAACAGUACGUGAAAUUGCCAAAAGGGAAGGGUAGGAGGUCAGAGAUGCGGCCUGGGAUUCAGCCUUGCUUUUGCUUGGUGUUUUUCCCAGAUUGCAGGCCAACGUCGGUUUUGGGCACUGGAGAAGGGUAGGAGGAACGUGGCACCCCUCGGGGUGUGUUAUAGCCUCCUACUGGAUACAGCGACCGAGACCGAGGACAGCAGCGUACUCGCAAGAGCGGGCCUUCGGGCACCUUUACGCUUAGGGCGUUGGCAUAAUGGCCCUCUACCACCCG